ACCCCCGUAGCGCAAUUGGAUAGCGCAUCGGACUUCUAAUCCGGUUGUUGUGGGUUCAAAUCCCACCGGGGGUA
rnacentral:tRNA from 1 species